rnacentral:rRNA from 1 species
AUUGAACGCUGGCGGCAUGCUUAAGACAUGCAAGUCGAACGAAGUCUUCGGACUUAGUGGCGGACGGGUGAGUAACACGUGGGAAUCUGCCCAGUAGCGGGGGAUAGCCCGGAGAAAUCCGGAGUAAUACCGCAUACGCCCUACGGGGGAAAGGCUUCGGUCACUAUUGGAUGAGCCCGCGUUAGAUUAGCUAGUUGGAGUGGUAAAGGCACCCCAAGGCGACGAUCUAUAGCUGGUCUGAGAGGACGAUCAGCCACAUCGGGACUGAGACACGGCCCGGACUCCUACGGGAGGCAGCAGUCGGGAAUAUUGGACAAUGGGGGCAACCCUGAUCCAGCAAUGCCGCGUGUGUGAAGAAGGCCUGCGGGUUGUAAAGCACUUUCAGCAGGGAAGAUAAUGACGUUACCUGCAGAAGAAGCACCGGCUAACUCCG